rnacentral:rRNA from 1 species
CAACAGCGUAUAUUAAAGUUGUUGCAGUUAAAACGCUCGUAGUCGGAUUUCGGGGCGGGCGGGCCGGUCUGCCGAUGGGUAUGCACUGGUCUGGCCGUCCUUCCUUCCGGAGACCGUGCGUGCUCUUAACUGAGUGCGCUCGGGAGACGGAUCGUUUACUUUGAAAAAAUCAGAGUGUUUCAAGCAGGCAGCUCGCUCUUGCAUGGAUUAGCAUGGGAUAAUGAAAUAGGACUUUGGUGCUAUUUUGUUGGUUUCGAACACCGAAGUAAUGAUUAACAGGGACAGUCAGGGGCACUCGUAUUCCGCCGAGAGAGGUGAAAUUCUCAGACCAGCGGAAGACGAACCACUGCGAAAGCAUUUGCCAGGGAUGUUUNCACUG